ensembl:lncRNA
CUCAGCACAAGCCCACAGUGGUCUCCAGGACCAGCUGGGCUCAGGGUCUGGGACCCCUGUCUGGGUCCACCCUGCGCGUUACCCCUCUCUGCCUGGGGGUCUCCACCUCUCCCCGCCUCCCUCCACCCACCCACCCCAGCGGAAGGAUUUGCCCUGGGCAGUUAGCCCGAUGAUGCGACUCAGGCUGUUCCUGGGACGACCAGGACACACACAGUGGCGGAGGCGACAGGCACCCGACGACCCGCGUGUGUCCCCUCAGGGCGCGUGCACAGACGGGGAAACGCCCACGAUGGCCUCACCUGAGCUUGUGUCCUGACGAGGGCUGGGCGCAGGAACCGCGGGGCCAGCCUGCCUCCGGCCCAGGCCUCAGUGCUGCGCUCUGUGCCCCCAGCCAGCGGAGGCGGC